rnacentral:sRNA from 1 species
UGAUGGGAAUGGGCAAUGAAAUAGACUUACACACUGUACAUUUUCAUGGCCAUAGCUUCCAAUACAAGCACAGGGGCGUUUAUAGUUCUGAUGUCUUUGACAUUUUCCCUGGAACAUACCAAACCCUAGAAAUGUUUCCAAGAACACCUGGAAUUUGGUUACUCCACUGCCAUGUGACCGACCACAUUCAUGCUGGAAUGGAAACCACUUACACCGUUCUACAAAAUGAAGGUGAAUAUCCAGGUAGUAAUUCUAGAAGCCAUAUAUAAAAGAUAUAAUUAAAGGAACUACUUUGCCUAAAUACUUCCCCCAAUAUGAAGCAUUUGUGAAUCUGCUGCCCGAUUUCUUCCUUCUCUACCUCCAAACAGCAUUUUUUUCCUGCUAAAUGGUGAGGGAUAUUGCUCAUUUCCUGACAGCCAGUACUUGUAAUAGCACCAGUCAUUUCUAAGUUCAUACAAAUGUGUAAUUAUACCUAAAGCUGA